rnacentral:rRNA from 3 species
ACGGGUGAGUAACACGUGGGUGAUCUGCCUCGUACUUCGGGAUAAGCCUGGGAAACUGGGUCUAAUACCGGAUAUGACCACGGGAUGCAUGUCUUGUGGUGGAAAGAUUUAUCGGUGCGAGAUGGGCCCGCGGCCUAUCAGCUUGUUGGUGGGGUAAUGGCCUACCAAGGCGACGACGGGUAGCCGACCUGAGAGGGUGACCGGCCACACUGGGACUGAGACACGGCCCAGACUCCUACGGGAGGCAGCAGUGGGGAAUAUUGCACAAUGGGCGGAAGCCUGAUGCAGCGACGCCGCGUGAGGGAUGACGGCCUUCGGGUUGUAAACCUCUUUCGACAGGGACGAAGCGCAAGUGACGGUACCUGUAGAAGAAGCACCGGCCAACUACGUGCCAGCAGCCGCGGUAAUACGUAGGGUGCGAGCGUUGUCCGGAAUUACUGGGCGUAAAGAGCUUGUAGGCGGUUCGUCGCGUCGAUCGUGAAAACCUACCGCUCAACGGUGGGCUUGCGGUCGAUACGGGCGGACUAGAGUACUUCAGGGGAGACUGGAAUUCCUGGUGUAGCGGUGAAAUGCGCAGA